AGUCACAGUCGUUGACGUACUCGGCCAAGAUCGUAUGGCUAUUGCCGAUGAUCGCGACAGCAACAGAUCGCUGUCUUUGGAUUCCAAUCCGGCCGAUGCCCAAUUCGAUUCCGAUGAAGCUUCCGCCAUUGCGAAGGUCGCCCCCGCCGAAAAAUGUUGUCAUGCCCGACGCGUGCCCGAAUCUCAUUUUGGAGGUGCUCUAUGUGACGAAGCCUAUUUAAAUUGCUAAAUAAUUUUGGCAAUUCGAGGAAGAUUCUACGCAGCGCGUGUUACGUUAACCAGCCCAGCGAUUGAACUGAUUUCAAGGCGUGUCCAGCAGAUAACAAAGUAAUCAAUCGGAAGACAGUCGACACCACAUUUUAAGAGCCUACAACACCACGUUUUAACACUGUUUUAAAACACAAUACUUCCUUGCCAAGAACAAAGUAGAGAUAGGGCUUGUCAUAUGCACAAGUGUAGUUUGAUGUUUUAUGCAUAAUCAACUAAAUAUAAUGUUCGCAAUAACAUUUAAUGUUAAGCCACUUUAAUAGUUUUUUUUU
ensembl:ncRNA lncRNA:CR45646 long non-coding RNA:CR45646